rnacentral:rRNA from 1 species
AGAACGAACGCUGGCGGCAGGCCUCAAACAUGCAAGUCUAGGGGGUGUAGCAAUACAUCACCGGCGGACGGGUGCGUAACGCGUGGGAAUAUACCUAUUGGUUCGGAACAACUGAGGGAAACUUCAGCUAAUACCGAAUGUGCCUUAACGGGGAAAGAUUUAUCGCCAAUGGAUUAGCCCGCGUUCGAUUAGCUAGUUGGUGGGGUAACGGCCCACCAAGGCGACGAUCGAUAGCUGUUCUGAGAGGAAGAUCAGCCACACUGGGACUGAGACACGGCCCAGACUCCUACGGGAGGCAGCAGUUGGGAAUCUUGGACAAUGGGGGAAACCCUGAUCCAGCCAUGCCGCGUGAGUGAUGAAGGCCUUCGGGUUGUAAAACUCUUUCGCGCACGACGAUAAUGACGGUAGUGCGAGAAGAAGCUCCGGCUAACUUCGUGCCAGCAGCCGC